CAAAGAAGAAGCAGUUUGACGGUGGAGGAGUCUUUUUCCAUGACAGUCAGUGAGUCUAUCUCUACAUGUUUGGUCCUCUCGGCUGGUCUGGGAAUUUGUUGGACUUCCAGUUUGAAAUGGAGCAACAUCUUUUCAACACAGUGGGAUGAGGUAGUAGGUUGUAUAGUUUUAGGGUUACACCCACACUGGGAGAUAACUAUUCAACCUACUGUCUUUCUCAAAGUGCUACACAUCAUCCCAGCUGUUCUCUGAGCUGUGGAGAACUUCCUGCUAUUCUCGACUGGACCCAGAUGCUGCUGUCAUCAUCAGAUUGUUUUCCAGCUGCUCGCUCAGUGUGAGGUAGUAGAUUGUAUAGUUUAAGGGUUGUGAUUUUUGCCCUGUUUGGGAGAUAACUAUACAACCUACUGCCUUCCCUGAAGAGUGGGAUGCCAUGUCUCCUCUGGCAGUUCAUUAUUAGAGCUUCAGCAGUGCCAUGGAUCAGGAUUUUCAUGUAUUCUUGUGCUGUGGCUAUGUUUUUGUUAAAUGGUACAUAGUGUGACCUAUAAUUAGAUUCAAUGCUUUACCUGUGUUAACAGUUUCUUCCCUGCAGGUAAAUAACUGUCUGUACUGAGCCAGUCAAUCUUGAUGCUCACCUAAAAUCAGUAACGGCUUGUCUUUGGUUCUGGAUUUCAUACAAGUAAUUCUUUUUCAACUUAAAUCCAUCUUUAAACUCAACAUAAACAUCACAAGAAGACUUCUAAUAUAAGUCUGUUCUCCAGUUCUGUAUAAACUACUCUGUCAGUCUCUGUUCACCAGUUAUCUUAAGACUAUCUAAACUGAUCCAAAUGAUGUUGCUCAUCGAGUUCUGACCAACACCACGAACCUGGAUCCCUGUUUGGGAAAUGAUAGAUUUCAAAUAUCUGGUUAUUUGGUCUAUAAAGCGUUGAAUGGUCCUGGACCUAAACACAACUCCGAGUUACUAUCAGGUACGAUCCAGGAAGACUCCUCAGGUCAUCCGAGACCUGCUCUCUGUGUGUUCCCAGGACCAGAACACCAUUUAGUUUUUCUGCUUUUCACUUCUGGAACAACCUGCCUGAAAACCUGAGAGGUGCAGAAAUUGUUGGUUCCUUUAAAUUAGGCCUGAAAACAUAACUGGUGGCUGCAGCUCUCCUGGAAAGGCUAAAGCUCAUUUCAUCGGUUUGGAGCUAUUUAUCUGGUUUAAUGACCAUUUUACUGCUUUUUGUACUGUCGCAAAAAUCUUGUGCUUAAAAUAUGUUUUAGUUUUUGUUAUUAAUGUAGUUUUAUUUGUUGUGAUUGUCUAAAGUUAAUUCCUGGUAUAUAUAAACCUAUCAGUGGGCUGUUUUUCAUUGGGUCUUUUAUUUCUCUUUUGAGUUUUUAAAAUAAAAAAGACUUGCAAAAA